UUCUGCAGCCAUAUUGCCUUGAACGUGCCUGUCUGAUCCCAGAAUCUAAGAAGAGUUGGCCAUGGCUGGUAGUGAGAUGGGGAAUCACUUGAGAAUUCCAGGUGCUGUAGGCU